AGCGGCGGACGGGUGAGUAACAUGUGGGCAACCUGCCUCAUAGAGGGGAAUAGCCUCCCGAAAGGGAGAUUAAUACCGCAUAAGAUUGUAGCUUCGCAUGAAGUAGCAAUUAAAGGAGUAAUCCGCUAUGAGAUGGGCCCGCGGCGCAUUAGCUAGUUGGUGAGGUAACGGCUCACCAAGGCGACGAUGCGUAGCCGACCUGAGAGGGUGAUCGGCCACAUUGGGACUGAGACACGGCCCAGACUCCUACGGGAGGCAGCAGUGGGGAAUAUUGCACAAUGGGGGAAACCCUGAUGCAGCAACGCCGCGUGAGUGAUGACGGCCUUCGGGUUGUAGAGCUCUGUAUUCAGGGACGAUAAUGACGGUACCUGAGGAGGAAGCCACGGCUAACUACGUGCCAGCAGCCGCGGUAAUACGUAGGUGGCGAGCGUUGUCCGGAUUUACUGGGCGUAAAGGGAGCGUAGGCGGACUUUUAAGUGAGAUGUGAAAUACCCGGGCUCAACUUGGGUGCUGCAUUUCAAACUGGAAGUCUAGAGUGCAGGAGAGGAGAAUGGAAAUUCCUAGUGUAGCGGUGAAAUGCGUAGAGAUUAGGAAGAACACCAGUGGCGAAGGCGAUUCUCUGGACUGUAACUGACGCUGAGGCUCGAAAGCGUGGGGAGCAACAGAUUAGAUACCCUGGGUAGUCCACGCCGUAACGAUGAAUACUAAGUGU
rnacentral:rRNA from 1 species